UCGGGAAUUUUGGGCAAUGGGCGAAAGCCUGACCCAGCAACGCCGCGUGAAGGAUGAAGUAUUUCGGUAUGUAAACUUCGUAAGAAUAGGAAGAAUAAAUGACGGUACUAUUUGUAAGGUCCGGCUAACUACGUGCCAGCAGCCGCGGUAAUACGUAGGGACCAAGCGUUGUUCGGAUUUACUGGGCGUAAAGGGCGCGUAGGCGGCGUGGUAAGUCAUCUGUGAAAUCUCCGAGCUUAACUCGGAACGGUCAGAUGAUACUGCUGUGCUAGAGUACAGAAAGGGCAAUCGGAAUUCUUGGUGUAGCGGUGAAAUGCGUAGAUAUCAAGAGGAACACCUGAGGCGAAGGCGGGUUGCUAGGCUGAUACUGACGCUGAGGCGCGAAAGCUAGGGUAGCAAACGGGAUUAGAUACCCUAGUAGUCCCUGAGCGGGCUGGCAAGGCGCAU
rnacentral:rRNA from 1 species